rnacentral:rRNA from 1 species
UACGUAGGUGACAAGCGUUGUCCGGAUUUACUGGGCGUAAAGAGCGCGCAGGCGGUCGAUCAAGUCGAGUGUGAAAGCCCCCGGCUCAACUGGGGAGGGUCAUUCGAUACUGAUCGACUCGAAGGCAGGAGAGGGUAGUGGAAUUCCCGGUGUAGUGGUGAAAUGCGUAGAUAUCGGGAGGAACACCAGUGGCAAAGGCGACUACCUGGCCUGUUCUUGACGCUGAGGCGCGAAAGCUAGGGGAGCAAACGGG